GUCCCAGACUCCUACGGGAGGCAGCAGUGAGGAAUAUUGGUCAAUGGGAGAGAUCCUGAACCAGCCAAGCCGCGUGAGGGAAGACGGCCCUAUGGGUUGUAAACCUCUUUUGUCGGAGAACAAAACCCGGGACGAGUCCCGGACUGCGUGUAUCCGAAGAAAAAGCAUCGGCUAACUCCGUGCCAGCAGCCGCGGUAAUACGGAGGAUGCGAGCGUUAUCCGGAUUUAUUGGGUUUAAAGGGUGCGUAGGCGGUCCGUUAAGUCAGCGGUAAAAAUGCGGUGCUCAACGCCGUCGAGCCGUUGAAACUGGCGUUCUUGAGUGGGCGAGAAGUAUGCGGAAUGCGUGGUGUAGCGGUGAAAUGCAUAGAUAUCACGCAGAACUCCGAUUGCGAAGGCAGCAUACCGGCGCCCUACUGACGCUGAGGCACGAAAGCGUGGGUAUCGAACAGGAUUAGAUACCCUAGUA
rnacentral:rRNA from 1 species